rnacentral:rRNA from 1 species
GAUGAACGCUGGCGGCGUGCCUAAUACAUGCAAGUCGAGCGAACGGACGUGAAGCUUGCUUUUCUGAUGUUAGAGGCGGACGGGUGAGUAACACGUGGAUAACCUACCUAUAAGACUGGGAUAACUUCGGGAAACCGGAGCUAAUACCGGAUAAUAUUUUGAACCGCAUGGUUCAAAAGUGAAAGACGGUCUUGCUGUCACUUAUAGAUGGAUCCGCGCUGCAUUAGCUAGUUGGUAAGGUAACGGCUUACCAAGGCAACGAUGCAUAGCCGACCUGAGAGGGUGAUCGGCCACACUGGAACUGAGACACGGUCCAGACUCCUACGGGAGGCAGCAGUAGGGAAUCUUCCGCAAUGGGCGAAAGCCUGACGGAGCAACGCCGCGUGAGUGAUGAAGGUCUUCGGAUCGUAAAACUCUGUUAUUAGGGAAGAACAUAUGUGUAAGUAACUGUGCACAUCUUGACGGUACCUAAUCAGAAAGCCACGGCUAACUACGUG